AUCAAUAUAUGUUAUAUUACCUACUUUACUAUUUGUUCACUCUAAGCUCUUUGAGGGCAGGGAUUUCUCUGUUUCAUUCACAUCUCUCAGUGCUCAGCACACUGUAGGCACACAGUAAAUGUUGAGAGAGAAAGAGGGAGGAAGGGAAAGAGAAGAGGAAAAUAAAUAAAAGCAAACACAUAUAGCCCUAAUCCAUCAUCUCCAAUCUCUUUAAACUUGUACAGCCUGGUUGAAGCACUUACCUACGCUUCUACAGACCAGAAACGAGAUCAGUUUCCCUGACGACUCCAGGAGCCAGGCUGGCGAUCCCUUGGCCAAGCGGCAGGGCUCAGCCUGCCGUCAGUCACAGCUGCAGUUCAUUCGGGGAAUUCCUUAACCACGUCCUCGCCCCACCUGAGUGCACAGUACAGCAGGGGUAUGUUUCCAGAAGAAAUGCUUACUACUUAGCAAAGCAGAGCAGCCAAGCCAAGAUGGAAAAGGUAAAGGAAAACCGAAGAGAACAAUAUAAUACCCUGUAAAAGGUCAGAAACAUAUUGAUGUAAGUGGUUUUUCUUGGGUACUUCUUUGUAAAAUUAUAAUAGAAAAAAAAAAGAAACCUUAGAAAUGAUGUAGUCACUCCUCCUCAUUUUACAAAAGAGAAAACUGAGGUCCAGAGAUUUAAAAACAGCUAAUAUUAAUACAAACCAUUAUUGAGAAAUUUUGAGAGAUUCUCCCUCAAAGGCACCAGGGAGUGUCAGUGAAAGUACCUGUUUUCUCAUUGUUUCUGAGACAAUAAAAGUUAUGAAACAAUGAUGUUUGCUAUAUCUCCUUGACCUUAUCUUCCACUGCAACAUUGCUACAGCUCCUUGCUCUGCCCUACCCCACCCUAAUUCUGGCUUCAGGUAGAGAACACAGAAGGAUCAGGUGCUCAGCUUAGGAAAUGAGUGUCUAGUUACAAAGAUUUUAUUGUUAUCCGUUUCCUGGUACCAGUUCAGCCCAAGCUGACAAACUAUAUUGAUUCUGAGCCCUUGGCUCCAACUAUAGUGCAAUCCAUUGGCCAUGUGCUUGUGCAUCCCCAGUGCUUGUCUAUUUCGAGGAUUCCACCCAUUAUGUGAUCACAGUUGUUUGUUUCUAAGACCUUGAUCCAGACAGUCAAACUGAAGUUCAUGGCCCUAUGAACUAACUGGCACAGAUUCAUGCUAUGCUAGUGUGUUCAACCUCUGUACAUUCUAAAGAAAGGACUGGCCUCUGACUGGCUCCUGAGACAGAACUUCUAACCUUCAGCAUACCCAAGCAUCUUUUAUAUCUAGAGGUUUGGGCCACAGCAUAUAGUCGACAUGAACAGUGUGAUUUAGGAUGAACACCUGUUUUGGUUCAACUAGUGCCUGGGCCAGUUUGACCUCUAGAGGGGCUAAAGAUGGACCAACUACCAUCCAUACUGGUGCUCCAUGCUACAACACAAACCCCACCAAAAUCCCUGGAAACCAAGGCUCAGUGAGCGUCUCUGGCUGAAAAUAAUCCAUGAAUGUCAUCGCACUUCACUGCUGGAGAAUUAAGAACCAGUCCCUACAACUCCACUGGGAGAAGAGGACCCGGUCUCAACUGGGCUCUGCUCUAUACAGCCACACCUAGUUUUACUGUGCUUUGCAGAUAUUGUGGUUUUUAUGAACUAAAGGUUUGUGGCAACCCUAUGUUGUCAGGUGAUAGCAUUUUUUAGUAACUAAUAAAUAUACAUUUUUAGACAUAAUGCAAUUGCGCAUAUAAUAGACCAUAGAAUAAUGUAAACCUAACUUUUAUAUGCACUGAGAAAUGAAAAAAAUUUGUGAAUUGCUUUAUUGCGAUAUUUGCUUGUACUGCAGGUGGUCUGCAACUGAAUCCACAAUAUCUCUGAGGGCAUAGACUGUUCUCUUUUCUCACAAAUAUCUCUAGUAUUCAUCAGCCUUAUUAUCCAAGUCCUUGGUCACAACCACCAUCUCUUCAAAAACCUAAUAUCCAUUAAACCUCUUACAUUUAAUCAGCCUCAGGUCUCAGUAGAAAUAAAUUCACAGAAAGAAUAAGCCCAUAUAAUUUGCAUCAGAAAAAAAAAAAUAAGCACCUUCUGAACCAAUUACAGGAAUCGACAUAAAAUGAAUGAAUGUGACUGACCAACUGCAAACCAGAUUAUUUUCAGCUUACUGCUGAUAAUACACUCUUGUCCUGGAGCAGUCAUCUUGCCUCUCUUUCUGACCACCUUGCCACACUGAUCACCUUAUAACAUCUAUCACUAAUGCUGCAUCCUCAGGAGAGAUGGUAUGUUGGGCUACCCAAAUAUUCACCAUAAAGGUGUAGGAUCAAAGAAGCAUGUUACCAGUCCUGCUUUGGGCAAUGAAGGAUAAUAAGAGUUUAUCUUCAGGUUUUUCUCUUAACAUGGUUUUGGGGUGACAGUGAGCAGCUGCACCAAGCACUGUCCACAACAAUGUGAGGGGUGGGAACAGCACUGGAGCCAAUCAUCAUCUCUGACAGCCCCUCCUCCAAAUGUAUGAAAGGCACCCAAGCUGGAAAGGGAGAUUCUCCAUCCAUUGAACUUCAUUCUUCUAUCACCAAAAUAUAAGAUGCCAAAAACUAGCUUUUUAAGCUUCUAAGAAACUUUUGUUACUGACACACAGAUCUCUCAAAAUAUUCAAAUUAACCCAGUCAGAUCUCAGAACUCUAAAUGCAUAACAAAAGUUUAAUUGUAGCCUUUUUAAAAGAGCUGUUUGAGGAGGUGCACAAUGACUGAAUCAUUCAAACAGUAGGUAAAUAUCAGAAAUAAGUCAGCUAAUUCAAUUUGCACAUGAGCUUUUAAUGUGACACACAAAAUUUACUGAAUAUACUAAAAAAAAAAAAAAAAUUGCCUAUCGACCUGUGUAGUUCCAAGGAUAAAUACUGGAGCAACUUGGUGUUUUAAGACAUAGACGAGGAAAUAUGGAGUUCUGGUAGGCAUUUCGGUCAACAGCUGCAAUCAGUAGCUUAAUUGUGAUUGCUUCUCUUAUUCUCCAGGCCAGAGAUAAGGGUGAUAAUCAUGGCAAUUGGCAGAACAAGAGGCCUCCAGAAGCAGAACUAAAUAGAAAUAAUAAGUAUAUAUGAUGCAUGUCUUUUACUGCAGCCCUUUGGAAACCUGUCCAUUAGCACUGGUGCUCCUGGAAGCAAACGAGCAGAUGGGCGCUUCUAAGCCUAAAAACUCAGUUACUCAGAAUUAAACUGUAUCACUCCUCAAGAGAAAUUAUAGUCCUGGAAGAAUUCAUUUACCUUUGACUAAUCUAAGGGCAGUUAACAUAAUUGAAAAUUACAUACAAGUCAAAUUAAGUUAAAUUUUAACCUUUUAUCCUUUAAAAAAAAAUCAGUAUCUGGGAAUAGAAAUUUUUUUUUUACCAGAUUUGAAUUAAUUUCAUUUAAUGAUACAUUUUUUGAAAUGUAAUGAUAUAUUAUAUGUGGAAUAGUUUAAAUUUUCAAAAAUAGUUCCAAAGCAGGUUUCAUGUUAAACGUGAAAUUUCAAUCCAAAAGGAAUGGUUCUUAUCUGUAUUUUCUUUGUCAGGCCUGCAUUCGUUUUUAUAAGUAAGAAAUAAAGUUUAGCACUACAAUAAUUAAGUGAAUAGAGUUAUCGCUGGAUUUGUCAGUGUGCUUUUUAGUGCUAAAGCUUUAAAGUCAAAUCCCAGAAACUGUCAAUAUCCUCCUAUCAUGUCCACACUCGUCAUCUGCACCACAAGUCAGUGUAAUCUGCAGACAGAAAUGAGAAGAAAUUGAACAUAUUUUAUGGCUGUUCUGCUUGAGGGGAGAAGAAUAAGGUAAAUCAAUACUUCUUGUCAUUUCCUGAAAAUACUGUAUUCUCUAAGACAUUUAACCAGCAUUUGCCCAUUUAAGCAAGGACAAAAACAUAAAAAGAAAGUUUUUAACUCAGAAAAUUAGGACGUCGAUAUUUCUGGGUCACAGAAAUUGAAAUUUUAUCAAGCAUUACUCCAAAACCUGAGUUAAAUACACUCUCAAGGUUGGUUGCUCCCAGUAAUGGCAACUACCAUUAAGAAAACCUAAAAUUUCAGGAAUGAAGAGUCCUAUUUAAUAUGCUAUUAUUGCCACUGAACUAUCACUAAAUUUAUAGCCCCAUUCAAAAUGCCAGGACAUGACUUUCUUUGUAAAAUUAGAUCUGUAAAAAAUUCUAUGUCUUUACUCAUAUAGUAUAUUUUCCCUACUCAUUGUUACAUCGAUUCAACAGGAAAUUUUCCUUAAAACUAUGCUGUUCAAUAUUACUUCUGAUCUUUAGAAAUAGACAAUUCUUGAUUAACUAGCCAUAUUAUUUGUACAUUUAAAGAGAACAAUGCAAAGUUGAGUCAGAAAGACUCCCAAUAAUCUGUCAUAAUUUAGGAAAUGAAUUCUGAAUCUGAAUAAAAUGUAAUUGGACCUGAGUUAUAACACAUGCUAUAACUAUGUAAAUUAAAGAGUGCCCCCCCCCAGCAAUAGUUAGCAAUGUUAUAAAGUAUUAAUAAUAAAACAUGGUAACAUUAGAAAUACAUAGAAUGUCAGAGAAACUAGGGUCUUAACUGCUGAUCUUGGGGUAACUGCGGCCUCUCUGAGCCUACAAUACACUUUUUAUACAAUAGGGUUAUGAGGAAUGCAUGGCUGCUCUGAAGAUUAAAUGAGCAUCCGUCUACACAAUCAUAGUGUCUGACACAAGGUGUUUAUUAAAUACUAUUUUCUCUCUUCUACAAAUGAAUUGAUUACAGAAAACACAUGCACGUGGGAGUGAGGGCUGGAGUGAGGCCAGUAAGGGGCGGGAGAGAGAAAGAGAGAGAAUGGUAAAAGAAAAAAAUAAAAGACAAGAGAUAUCCAAGUAGUAAUGAUUGCUAAAUAUCAUGAAAACAAAAAAUUAGGAAAACACAGAAGCUACAUCACUAAAAUCUUGUUUUUUGAGGCCAAGAAAUUCAAUCUAUAUCUUUAGGAAGAUGGGGUUGUGCCUACAUGAGAAAAGGCCAUGUUCAGGAGAAGAAGAAUAAAAGGAACUUCAAACUUUGUUUCCCUUGUGGGUUACCGCUUGAAACUUUUGAUUUAGAGGUGGCUCAGAUCCGGCACUGCUUUGGCAUAGGCCAGAAGCUACCUCUCCUAUUUGACCCCUCUCCUGGGAAUCUCCAUAUGCCAUGGGUGCGGCCCUAAAAAGCAAAAAUAAAAAAAUUUAAAAAAGAGAGAAAAGAAAAAAGAUAACAGAAAUUGACAAAUCUCCACCUGUUUCUCUUGAGAAUGGCAAUCACAGGAACCUCUGGGGACUUGACACAUAUCUUUAGACUUACAUGUAAGGUAAGGAAAAGUCUUUUUGGUGUAUAAGGAAUGCUUUUCAUCCCUGCUUGAGCAAGCGUCUCAGCAGAUGUGACAGUUGAUCCUAGAGGAGGAUCAGCAUAUAUAAAGCAUCUGUAACUAUGGAAAAUCCUGCUGGGUGCCUAGUCUCCCUCCUUGUUAACAGAACCCUGAUAUCAUCGGGGGUAGCGGGGUGCCUAGAUUUACAAAACUACACUUAACAACCAGGGGUGGCCAUAUUACACAGUCCUUGUUACUGAGAUUUAAGCAGAAUCAUUGGUGGGCUGGGAAGAAGUACCUUACAAGGGGAUAGACGGGCUGGUUCACAACUUUUUGCCAUUAGCCAUUUGCUCCUCUAGUCUUCUUGCUGGUAACUCUAUGUGCUGGCUAAAGUUCAGCAUGAGGACCCAGGCCAAACUCUAAGGAUUGUGGCUCCUAAAGCCAAAUGGUUUCACUUUUCUGUGUCCCCCACUAGAAAGACUGAGUUUUCCUAUCCCUGUGCCUCAUGUGUCCAGAGGUACUAGACUUGGCCCCAGGCUAAAAUACUUGAACCUAUUUCUAUAGCUCCCGAUCUCCCUUCCCCAAGUCGGCAUGCACCUGUCACCAGACUUUCUGCUUCUCUUCACCCUCUGCUACCUUCAGUCAGUUGUUCUGUAUUAUGUCCAAGAUUUAUAGCUAUUUUCCUUUGAAGAGAGUGGAUUCCAGUAGGGUCUUAGGUCCUCAUACUUGGAAGCAGAAUAUCUUAAAUUUCACCCCUAAUUAAGUCCGAAGGAAUUGCUAGAAUAUAGACAUUGCUAUAAAUGGUUUCUUGAUCAGAGAAUGGUACUUGUAAGACAAGACCCAGCAAUGGAGUUCACAGAAAUGAUGGUACUUCAACAUUUUUUGAAGAGCUCUUCAUUGUCCACUAAAAAGUUCUGUUAACCAUUUUGCAAAUAUUAUUGAGUUACUCCCAUGAAGGGUUUAGGAUUAAGUGAUGGUUGGUAUGGGCUACAUAUAGACACUGGAACAGAAAAAAAGCUAUGGUAUUUUAUACAUCAACAUGUUUCAGAUCAUUUCAGGUAAUGUAAAUCAGUAGAUACAUUUUGACUACUAGGUGAUGGGCAAAGUGUGGGGAAGAUAUUGAGGAAGCAUAUAAAAUCAUUCUUGCCUUUUCAUAAUCUCACUCAAGAGAGAAAAACUAACAUGAAGAAAAAAAUUGAAAUCAAUAUAUGAUAAAAUGCUAAA
rnacentral:lncRNA from 1 species